CAAAAGUUAAGGUUGUUAUGUCGUUAGUUGAUAGCAUAAACCAAUAUUAACACUGAAUCAAGAAUCAUAAGGAAAGAAGAAUGAAAUUUUGCAAUGAAAACUGCGAAGCUAUAAAAAAAAAGGGUAUUUUUUUUCUCUGAUUCUUGUUCUACACCACAGAAUUCGUGGUUGUACGAAAAACAGUCCUCCUUAUCCAUUUGGGUAUUUGAGUGUUUGAAGAAGAAAAUAUCUAAGUCUAAUAUUGUGCGACAAAAUUCUUCUUCUUUAGCGUGAAGAAAGAGACCACCUAUUACCAAGUGACAGCUCUCACUGUAGGCAACUGUUGCUGCAGCAAAAGAGUGCCUUCUCAUGAUGAAUUCACAAGCAGAAACAGACCCAGGAUUUUGAUUCAACUAUCCUGCCAGGGUAGAACACCAGAUCCGGAGGAAAAGAAAGAUCAGAAGGGAGAAACGAAGGUGAACUUGUUCAAAUGGAAAAUGUUAAGUGAUAUUGAAAAGACAGGGAAGAGAUUGAAGCAGAAUUUGAGUCCACAGCAAAAGGGUGAUUGGAAAGACUUGUUGCUGAUGAGUAUAUCGUUUGCAGUUUAUGUGUACAUAUCCCAGAUGCUUGUAUGUGCCUAUUUUGCUUGGACCACUGUGCCCAAACCCAUGUGGUAGCAAGCACUGGUGAUCUUUUAUUUGCAUCAGAGAAAUCUGAUGUAGUUUAUGUUGGAAAAAUAUCGUGUAGGAAACAGAUUAUGGCUGCGGAAUACCAUUUUUAAAUCAAUGUUUUUACUUUGCUGUGUGAAUAUUAUCUUCGUGAUUAGUGACAUCUUGGUGAUUCUAUGUAUAUUGAUUAAUUGGGAAAGAAUGUGAUGAUCAUAAGAGGAUGCUUGAGAUUUUCUCCGUUCAAGAAGGAAGGAGCUGCAUAGUAAUCCUAUUUUUUCUUUACGUUUUUUCACAACGAUUUUCACACUAAAUGAGAUAAGAUUAAGAUAAGUGAUGUAACGAAAAUAUCAGUGAACUAGAGCUACCCCAAUAAAUGAAUUAAUUCAAAGGCAUACUACAAAUCUUUAUAAAAUGAUUAUCUGAUUUAAGCGACACUGAUAAUUUCAAUUUCAAUUCUGGUAACAAGGAGGUUCUGAACAAACCACCAAACUAUGAAAAGUAACAUAAGAGCAGAUUGAUAGCAUUGUCAAAGAUAACUCCUAGGAGUGAAAUACCAGUGCUUUUUCAACAUCUGAUUGUUCCACAAGCAAAAGGAAAAUAGUAAAAGUAUGAUUAAUUUAUGAGUCGUACAAGAGGUGGUCUUUCAAUGGUCUUUUUGAUUAGUCAGAUUUAAGCCUUUCACGCUUGAAGAGGCUGACAAGGCCAUUGAAUACUGAAAGCAACCACUGCCAAAUAAAUAUGAGCCAGUUUCUUGGCUUAGGAACUGGUUCAGGCCUUGGUCCAAAUAUUCCUUUAUAUAUCUCUUUCUGCUUUUGGUAAACGGCCUUGUCAUGUUCAGCAAGCAAUUUCAGUUCUCUUGCAAUUGCUUUGUCUUGAGGAGCAUGUUUACGUGCCUUUAGAAAAUCUUCCCUGGCAGCAUCUGUUUGCCCAAGUGCUGCUCUAGCCUUACCUCGCCUAAAUAAUGCCUUCACAUUGGUCUCAUCCUCACCCAGUGCCUGCAAGUUCCAUCAUAAAGUUACACACAAGUGGGUGACCAAAAUGACUUCUCUUUUGGGUAAACAACUUAAUAAAGCACUUACUCAAUAACUACUCAUCGGGUAAACAUGUGUUUCUAUGAUAGAAGAAAUAAGGGUGAGUUGUUGUUAUGCAAGUUUUAAGUUGUUUUCAAAAAAUUGCCCAAAUAAGUUUACUGAAAUAGGCUGAAAGUAACCCAUGGUUCUCCCAAAUACUCAUGCUGUAAACUCAAAAAGACUGUAAAUAAAAUCUUCCGGAGUGAAAAAGAUUAUCUCAGUUCCUUUCAGAAAAUCACGGUUUAACAUUGCAUCAUAAUUCACAAUCUUGGAUAGCUAAAAUUCUAAGAUAUUAGACUUAAUUGGUAUUUUAGAUGAGAUGACACAACACCCUAUCCUAUUGCAUAGCAAAAUAAACUUAAUGCGAUGCCCAUAUUUACUUGCUAAACUGGUAACAAAAACAACUAUAAUGUGGAUAGCAGCUAAAUAAUUUCUUAGACAAAAUAUGAGAGGACAUGCUUAGUAUUGAAUGGUGACAAAGUCAGCAUUUUCUAUUUUGGCAUGAUCUGACAGGGUAAUCAAUAAUGCAAAAGAACAAAAAGCAAAAAAGAGUAUGAAGUUUCCCUUCAAUAAGUUUAAAAAGAACACCCUUGAGACAAAACACAUUCGCUGUCUUCAACGUCUCAAAGAGAGAUUAAGAUCUCACUAAUGUCCAAUAAAGCAGCAUAUUAUUAGACUAUAAUUUUACUUUCAUAAUAUUGUAUUCCAUUCACAAUCCAAAUCUGGCCAAAAGUAGCUAGCAGAAGAGAUAGUUAUAAUGCAAUUCUGUAUCUAGAAAAGGAAUUAUUGAAACACCGAUGAAUGGUGUGGCUUACAAAUUAAAACACACACACAAAGCAUUUUAUGCUGGAUUGAUUGGUUAAAGUCUUGUCUUAUACUCA
rnacentral:sRNA from 1 species